CCAGGGACUGUAUUCCAGAGUCUGAAUAAACAGGAACAUGCUAAGACAUUGGAUCUGUUACUCUGUACUACCUGCAAGUCCAUAUACUACUGCAUUUGUCAGCCUUGGCAUUUCAGACAAAGAGGAGAGAAUGGAUUCAACACAGACAAAUAAACCUGCUGCUGGAUGGGAAAAGACAGACAUUAUAAUGGAUGGAAUACAACUUAAGCAUUUUCCAAUUCUUUUAACUUGCUACCUUGUGGCAACGUACAUUGUUCAGGCCAUAGAUUAUGUCUCCCUUACAAAUGAGACCAUGCAAACAAACACACAGAGUAGGUUGGAAAAACAAUGUCUCCUGAAGCUGUUAUAGCAUCCAGUAUUUCAGAUAAAGUCCAUCAAACCACAACGCAGGGUGCAACUAUCAGCCACAAUACAAGGCUCAGAAUGGAUAGCGGCAGUAACUCUCCUUUAAUAACCACAUCAUAUGUGGCACAUGUUGCAUCAAACACCAUUCACCAUCCAAGCUCAAACACUAACAAGUCUUCAGAUAUCACAAGAUUCAAAUCUGUUGCGACUCUACCACGUAAUUUUUUAUCAUCUACUAGAACUAUAAAUCAAACAACAUCAGAAAUGCUGGAAGCAGCUGAUCAGCUUUUCACAACCAUACCAACAAUCACCCGUGAAGCUCUAACUCCAAAUUGUACAACCCAGGCUCCAGAUGAUUUAUAUAAUACACCAGAUGACACACUGGUGAUAUCAGGAGGACUAUAAGAUGCACCCCAGAUUUACAACCCUGACGUGACAGUACUGGAAAAUAAUGAAGUUCAAACUGAUUAUUUACCAUUUGAGUCUAGAUGUGGGCAGUACAGACUUGAAUAUUUACCUGUUCAUGUGGAAAAAGGACUUUUCUCCACCUUCAAGACAUUUUAAUUACCACAAGAUUCUAAACAUUAUGACAUGCAGAAAUUUCUUACGAUAGUUUUAACAUUAACACUUACGUAGCAUUUCUGAUUACCCCUGCUUAAGUCUCUUGACAUUUCUUUUAAUAUAAUGUCAGAUACUGUACAUAUACUGCUAUGCUGGAAAUCACGCUUACUUAUACCAACGAAAAUAUGUGUUUCUCAUGAAAAGUCUCAGUGAGCAGUGGUUUAAACUGUAUUUUUGCAUGAAGUCAUUCAAAUAUCUCACAUUAUGGAAUUAGCAAAAUUAUGAAUGCGUAGGCUAGGCUUGAUGUGGAUUUUGAACCUUAACUGCAAAAUUAUAGUUUAUGGAUUUAUAUGUGAUCCACAGCUGAGAAGACUAAGUAGUAGUUUUAUUAUACUCAGAAACAACCUGAAAUUUUAUUUUUGAUUUCUCAGUCACUAGCCUAUCUAUCUGUUGAAGAUGUCAACAGUAGCGACAGUCAAAAUUAGGAAUAGGCUGUCUUGAAAUGAAAUAACGAUCACAGGCAGGUGUUUAGACCUUGUAUAAAACACCAAUCCCUUUUAAAAUAAAUGAGACUGAACACAUAUGUUGUGUUUCGCAGGUGUGUUUUUGCUGCAAAGUAACCAAAGAGAAAUUAGUAAGUAACAUCCCAAACUAAAACGAAAAAUAAGGGAUUCUGAAUGACAUUCUGUGCACAUGGUUUUAAAAACAAUAAUCAAGAUAUUCAGGAGAGGUUUAAAGGGAUUUUUUAAUGGUACUUAGGGUAAAAUAAUCUUUCUUGGAAAGAGCAGACAUCUGGAACGUGUGUGUUACAAGCAGCUCCUUUCUUCUUUCCUUUGGUCUGAUUUACGCUAUUUAAACAGAAAUAUUAUAAAAACUUAACAUUCCGCAUAUGUAUCAAACAACUCUCCAGUAAGAAAAGUCAUUUUAACUUGUCAGAAAGUUCACCUGCACAAUACAUUCCAUUUACAAAAUACAGAGAAAAAAAAUAGUAUAUUUUUUAAGACCUUUGGAAAGUUAUCUUUAUCAGUUACAUACAAUAAAAAAAACAUUAUUAACAUCACUGUUCAACAGAUAAGGCGUUAAGAAACCCAAACUACUAGCCUAUGUAGAAUUGCUAAACCGAAACAAUGAAACACUUAAGUUUUGCUACCCACUUCAGAUGAAGCUAGGAUUUUGAUUUUUCUUAAUACUUUCAGAUAGAUGUACCUGUAGUCUUCUUGUUAUCUUUAGGGACUGAAGCAAGUUUUUUUUUGUUGUUGAGAAACCAAGCUUAAGCAUGGCAAGCUUAAGCAAGGAUUAAUACCGGAAUCUAUUUAGUUCUAAGUUAUUUUUACACUUACAUGGCAGAAGCUGUUAGUCCUUAGGAUGGAUGUCUGGCCAUUUAGAUCUAUGCUCUAAUACAUAAAGCAACAUUAGUCCCACACUUCACAUUUCAGAUGAACCAUUUAAUGAAUCGUAAAAUUGUGUUUACAAUCUGAAAAUAUAAGUACGCAUAACAUUCCUUGUGAAGCUGAACUGUUUUUAAACCUACGUAACUUUAUUAAAAAUACAACUUUAAGCAUUUCAAAACUGUUUUAACAUACUGAAGUAGUGGCUACUGAAAACAAAGUAACAUAAAAGGAUAAGAUAGUUCUAGCAGAACAUGUAAAAUGAACCAAAAGCAAGACAACUUCAAAUAAAAGUUCAUUUUU